CGAUGUGGGAAGGCCCAGACAGCCAGGAUGUUGGCUUAGAAGCAGCCAUCAUUUAAAGAAAGCGUAAUAGCUCACUGGUCGAGUCGGCCUGCGCGGAAGAUGUAACGGGGCUAAACCAUGCACCGAAGCUGCGGCAGCGACGCUGAUGCGUUGUUGGGUAGGGGAGCGUUCUGUAAGCCUGUGAAGGUGUGCUGUGAGGUAUGCUGGAGGUAUCAGAAGUGCGAAUGCUGACAUAAGUAACGAUAAAGCGGGUGAAAAGCCCGCUCGCCGGAAGACCAAGGGUUCCUGUCCAACGUUAAUCGGGGCAGGGUGAGUCGACCCCUAAGGCGAGGCCGAAAGGCGUAGUCGAUGGGAAACAGGUUAAUAUUCCUGUACUUGGUGUUACUGCGAAGGGGGGACGGAGAAGGCUAUGUUGGCCGGGCGACGGUUGUCCCGGUUUAAGCGUGUAGGCUGGUUUUCCAGGCAAAUCCGGAAAACUAAGGCUGAGGCGUGAUGACGAGGCACUACGGUGCUGAAGCAACAAAUGCCCUGCUUCCAGGAAAAGCCUCUAAGCAUCAGGUAACAUCAAAUCGUACCCCAAACCGACACAGGUGGUCAGGUAGAGAAUACCAAGGCGCUUGAGAGAACUCGGGUGAAGGAACUAGGCAAAAUGGUGCCGUAACUUCGGGAGAAGGCACGCUGAUAUGUAGGUGAAGUCCCUCGCGGAUGGAGCUGAAAUCAGUCGAAGAUACCAGCUGGCUGCAACUGUUUAUUAAAAACACAGCACUGUGCAAACACGAAAGUGGACGUAUACGGUGUGACGCCUGCCCGGUGCCGGAAGGUUAAUUGAUGGGGUCAGCGCAAGCGAAGCUCUUGAUCGAAGCCCCGGUAAACGGCGGCCGUAACUAUAACGGUCCUAAGGUAGCGAAAUUCCUUGUCGGGUAAGUUCCGACCUGCACGAAUGGCGUAAUGAUGGCCAGGCUGUCUCCACCCGAGACUCAGUGAAAUUGAACUCGCUGUGAAGAUGCAGUGUACCCGCGGCAAGACGGAAAGACCCCGUGAACCUUUACUAUAGCUUGACACUGAACAUUGAGCCUUGAUGUGUAGGAUAGGUGGGAGGCUUUGAAGUGUGGACGCCAGUCUGCAUGGAGCCGACCUUGAAAUACCACCCUUUAAUGUUUGAUGUUCUAACGUUGACCCGUAAUCCGGGUUGCGGACAGUGUCUGGUGGGUAGUUUGACUGGGGCGGUCUCCUCCUAAAGAGUAACGGAGGAGCACGAAGGUUGGCUAAUCCUGGUCGGACAUCAGGAGGUUAGUGCAAUGGCAUAAGCCAGCUUGACUGCGAGCGUGACGGCGCGAGCAGGUGCGAAAGCAGGUCAUAGUGAUCCGGUGGUUCUGAAUGGAAGGGCCAUCGCUCAACGGAUAAAAGGUACUCCGGGGAUAACAGGCUGAUACCGCCCAAGAGUUCAUAUCGACGGCGGUGUUUGGCACCUCGAUGUCGGCUCAUCACAUCCUGGGGCUGAAGUAGGUCCCAAGGGUAUGGCUGUUCGCCAUUUAAAGUGGUACGCGAGCUGGGUUUAGAACGUCGUGAGACAGUUCGGUCCCUAUCUGCCGUGGGCGCUGGAGAACUGAGGGGGGCUGCUCCUAGUACGAGAGGACCGGAGUGGACGCAUCACUGGUGUUCGGGUUGUCAUGCCAAUGGCACUGCCCGGUAGCUAAAUGCGGAAGAGAUAAGUGCUGAAAGCAUCUAAGCACGAAACUUGCCCCGAGAUGAGUUCUCCCUGACUCCUUGAGAGUCCUGAAGGAACGUUGAAGACGACGACGUUGAUAGGCCGGGUGUGUAAGCGCAGCGAUGCGUUGAGCUAACCGGUACUAAUGAACCGUGAGGCUUAACCUUACAACGCCGAAGGUGUUU
rnacentral:rRNA from 1 species